rnacentral:lncRNA from 1 species
UCUCUAUCCUUGGGAGGAAGCUGAGGCUCUGUGGCAGCUUGUCUCGGAGGUGAUGCAGCUGAUGUUGAUUUCUUGAAUUUCUCUGUACUAGGAGAAGACUCGGAUUUAGAAGUUUGUUUUACCUCAUCUUUCUUUUCAGAUGGCUUAGGUGCAGCAGUCUCUGGUAAUUUUUCAGAUGGAGCAACAUGAGAUACCCCUUCACCAGACUUUGAAAUGAUAGCAACCAUUGUUCCUGGCUCAACAGUGUCUCCUUCUUUGGCUACAAACUGCAAAUAUUCAGGCAGAAAAUUAACAUCAUUUUUGUAGUCUAAAUCAUCUGACAGAAUGUUGCAUGAUCCACAAGUGUUCUAGACAAAGAUGUAUUACCUCUUUUAUCACACCCGCUUCUGGACUAGCAACAUCAAUUGUCACCUGGGCAAGGAUGGAUGUUAUCAGCAUUCCAGUGAAAGUUAAGAGUUUAACUUCUGAGUAAGAGGGAAAAAUGAAUAACGGCCUGCAUGUAGUACCUUAUCUGUCUCAAUUUGUGCAAUAGGCUCAUCAACUUCAACCCUGUCACCAGGUUCUGCAAACAACAAAUGCACAAGAAAUUAGAAACAGUCUCAUUUAAAAAAAUAUAACGAUAAUGACAAUAUUGCUCUAAGAGAACAUACUCCUCAUUUUAAAAAAUAUAACGAUAAUGACAACAUCGCUCUAAGAGAACAUACUCUUUAAGAAUGUAGCUAGUGUGCCGUCAGUAAUGGAUUCACCCAUGAAAGGUACAACAGCAUGAGCCAAAUCCUCUGCAUGAUUGAAACAAUAAUAUAAUGUCAGGCAAUCUCGGAUGUAUUAUAACUUCUAAGCUCAGGUGAGGAUGUACGAGGAUAAUAACUAUAUUUAGUUAUCACACUAUACUGCAAGUCUUCAGAGCAUUACUGUUGCUAGAAAUAUAGACAAACAAAAUUACACAUGAACCUAAUGCAAGUAAUACAAAUUAUUGAGUAUGCUUUGAAUCUUUAUUAACUUGCGAAAAUCCAACGUUGACAGUAUUAAAGCAUGAUUAUCCCAUUAAAUAAAAAAGGAACGAUAUAAUAACAAAUGUAUGGAUAGCUGAUUUUGGUUCUCGACAGAUGCUAGAAUACAUGACAACCAUGGCCUACUAGUCAAGGACAGUACAAUCUGAAUAUGGCAUUAAUUCAUUCAUAAAGAGAUGGCAAGAAGUUACAAAAGGAGUAUCAAGUUCAUACCACUAUCAGAAGAAAAUCCCCUGGUCCAAGUUUGCCUAGAGGUCAUCAGUUCAGUGAUUAAGUUAACACCCCUGUUUAUAACAAAGCAUAACUCAACUCAGAAAAUUCAUCCUCCAAGUAUAGGAUAGAAUAACACUGAAAGGGGCUCAGGAUACAUGUUACUAUUAGCCCACCAUAUAAAUCUCCUAGUCCUGAACCACUUUGAAUUAAACAGAGGCAGUAUCAUUUCCUUACAUUUCAAUUUUGAGAAUGAUCCAUUUCAUGUGUUUGCCUAUAUCAUAAUUACGCACUAAUGACAAUGCUGGCGUAACAUACUCCGGAAGGGAUUAAAUAAUGAUCUGCACUGCACCAGGCACAAAAAUACAAUUUCCUAUGCACACUCGCGCACACAUUUUAUCCAAUUAUACGAAACUGCAGCAAUACAGCACGAGACCCUAGGGAACAGGAGUCGACGAAUAGAAGUAUAGAAAGCCCAACAUACAAUUUAUGUCGUGAAAUUGAUUCAUGGUUCAAGAAAUAAUAUUGGUUUACACUUGCUACAACCGAACGUAUUCAGACAGUAUUUAAGGCAGAAAUAGGAUUGAUGCCCCUAACCUUUUAGGUGUCGAACAAACAAUGGAACCUGUAAUAACAAAAGAUUCUCACAUUAGCAUCCAUGAGAGUACCGACAAUCAAGCGCAAACUUGCCUAAUUAUCACCUGGCAAGAGAAGACGACUAUAGUUCCGGACAUGUGUAAGUCGUUUUAGAUUAAGCAAAACCUGUUCAAAUGUUAUUAAACAUUAAACACUUAUGAGAGUAGUGUUUAUAAGCCACAAAAUCACAUAUUUCAAUAACGAUUGAGGUAACUCCUAACCGCAUCCUCAUAUGGUAUCCAGUUCCCCUUAUUUUAAAGAUUAAAACUGGUCAUUCAUCCAGCGAAGAACAAUAGAAGGUGACUAUGAACUCGAGUAAAGGGAACAAAUAAUUGUCUCCCUAAAUUAAAUUUAAUCUAUCAAGAAGUAACGAAGAACAGAGGAAAAGGAAAAUUGUCCAGAACAAACAAUAACCUCAGUUUCUGCAGCAUAGGCAGCUCCAGGCGUGGACGCUGCAGGUCGAAGAUUCUGCAGAGACUGCUUCAAUAUCUAACACGAAUUACAGAAAAGUCAAACUCCAUGAAAUAGUCACUCCAAAUCGAGGAAUCGCCGGAAAGGAACUGACAAGAUAUAUGGAAACCAAAUCGAUCUGACUUAUGAGGAAAGGGGAAAAAAUCGAAUGUUCUAACCGAAGAAGAAGAGGAACUGCCGGUAGCAAUUCUCCUCCUGAGAACGCCGAACAUUGUUGCUUCGAUCUCUGCUUUGACAAUCAAACAAGAAACUCUUGAAAUAAAUUCCUAAAAGCACAAUCCAGAAAAAAAGCCACAGAGCAAACAAAAAUGCAAUUUUCAGAAGCAAACAAACUCACGCAACGAAUAAAAUCCAUGACAUAACAAGAUCAAAAGAAAGACACGCGAAUGCAGGGGAAGGGCUCUGACCUGAUGAUGGCCAGCCUUUUGACGGGGAAAUUGAACGUAGCACAAACGAUUGAUGGAGGACGGAAGUAGGGUUUCCCCUUAUGGCGCAGAGAGAGAAAGAGCGAGGAGAAUGAAAAGGGGAAAUGGUGGCGGGGGUAUUCGGGCUCGGGAAAGAGAAGGAAGGUGCUGGGGAAUUCGGGUCGAAACUGGAUGUUGAACAGCUUACGUGGCCUACUUGUUACUGUCUAUGGUAAUUGCUUUAUGCUGUCAGGAGAGCAACAGAAGAACGUUGUGCUGAAUUUUGAAUUCAGCAUUCAUGCCGGAUACUUAAAGGCCGUUAGAUUUUCUACUUUUAAUGCCUCUUCUCAAUCUAAAGGCUCCUACUUUUCAGAGGUUUUGGUAUUUAAUUUUUUUUAUUUUCUUAUUUUUUAAAAAAAUUAACAUUUAAAAGUUCGAUUUUUAUUUUCUUUAUAUAGAAAUAUUCAUUUUUCAAAGAUUAAUCUUAAAGGUUGAUAUUGACUUUAUUUUGAUAACUUUAAAAAUUAUAUUUUUUUAUUUUAUUUCGAGCAUAACUUCUUUGUUUCAAGUUUGAUUUUAAUAUUCUUGAUAUGGCUAAUAACUACGUCUAAGUUGUUAAUAACUAUCUAUAAGUUGAUGAUAACUACACCUUACUUUAGUUAUUAAUAACGACCUUAAAGUUAUUAAUAAUUACAUCAAAGUUGUUAAACAACUACUUGUGGAAGUCUCUAAAUAAGGUUAUCUUCGAACAUAUGCAACUGUCGAUCCACUUCCUUGCAAGGCAAUUCACGUUUCCCUCCCUCAAUAACUAUGUUUAACUCAAUAACAAUCAUGUUUCCCUCCCUCACAUAUACCUCAUGUUUUCAUCGACCAUACAUACAUCUAACCUGCUAAUACCUACGUCAAAGUUGUAAUGCCUAGGUUUAAGUUGCAAUAACUAUGUUUUCUCCCUUAUAUUUACAUUAAGUUUAAGUUGCAAAUAACAACGUCUAACUAGAUAGUAACUACGUUUACCUAAAAUGUGCUAAAACCUACAUUUGAAAUGGUGAUAACUACAUCUGAAUUCCCUCCAUAACUAUGUCUUAUUGGCUAAUAACUACGUUUUCUCUUCUUAUAUCUACCUUACAUUUUCAUCGACCAUACAUACAUCUAAGGUGUUAAAUACCUACCUCAAGGUUGUUAACGCCUAUAUUAGGUUCUAAAAAAAAAAAAAAAAAAAAAAAAAAAAAAAAAAAAAAAAAAAAAAAAAAAAAAAAAAAAAAAAAAAAAAAAAAAAAAAAAAAAAAAAAAAAAAAAAAAAAAAAAAAAAAAGAAAAGUGAGAAUAAAUAAAUUAAUUAAUAUGUAAAAUAAAUAAAUAAAUUAAAAUAAUGAUGUGGAAGUUAUGAAACUGCGCACGGCUACUAAAUUCAGCCGGAGACGAAAUCUCAGGAACCAGCGAAUUUGUUUUGGCAACGUACAAAAAGGAACUUCAGUUAGAAUUAAUUCGAAUUGGUUAGGGCCAGGCUUAGGAACUCGGAAAUUAAUAUGAUACGAUUAUCAAAAAAUUAGUGUGUCUUGUUAGAGACAAAUAUUAAUUUGAUUUCGGUCAAUUUUAAUCGGAUCAUGUCCUAUAAUGGACAUGCCGAUUGUAUGGAAUGAUUAAAUUAUAAAUCAUAUGAGUUUGGUAGAUCGGAUCUUAUAAAAACAAAAUAUAAAUCAUUAUUGAAUGAAUAGUAUUUGGUAUUUUUUAGAGGGGUUUGUUUUGAGUUUACUGAAACUUUAUUUUAAAUUUAUUAGGAUUUUAUUUUGAGUUUACCGAAACUUUAUUUUGAACUUAUAUAUUACCAUUUAUGGAUCUUGUGGUAUUUUCCAUUCUUUAAUUGACAUGACUUAAAUUGUCUCAACGCUUUCAUUUUGUUAAUAAAUUUUUUUAAAAAAAAAAUUCAUCUAUAUCCACUUAUCCUCUAAAACAUUUUACAGUAUCGCACGAAUAAUUCUAGUUAUCAAUAACUGUUAUUCUUACUCUUUUUAGACAGAAAAUGCUAACAAUCACUAUCCGCUACACUCUAAAAUCCAUUGUUUGAUAAAAAGAACAGUCAAAUCGUCGAAUAGAUUAGGAGAGAAACAAAUGCAAUUAUCCAUGAAUUAACUUUUUUUUAUCUCUUGUAAUGGCAUGUUCGACAAAUUUAUUUGCCUAUGAGUUAACUCGAUAACAUGGUCUAGCAUACCACUUUGUUAUGAACCGGUAUUCCAUAGAUUAAGUUUGUUUCUCUCGGAAUGAGAGCCUCCCUAGAAUUAGGGUUUUGAUGGCGCGGAGUUAGGCUUUGUUCAUUGUUGAAUCGAGCUUCUACCCUUAGCACGAUCACAUGAGGACAGAGAUAGCGUACGUUCGCUAGGAUUUUCGCAACUGAUCAAAUACUAAAAGAAAGGACCGGGAUACAUAGCGAUGGACAGCACGACGAUGGAACAUCGGUUGGCGCAACUGACGUCAGGGUUGGAUGAGGAGAAGGAGCCGGCGUCUUGAGGACGAGGAAGAGAGGAGGAGGAGUCGACGUUAUGUGUAGCAGCUGGUCGGUUGGUUUCGGACAAGAGCAACAACUUUGUUGCGCUUGUGGAGACCGGGGAAGGGGAUUACCUUUGAAGACCUGGGUAAUACGCGGGUGCUGAUCUAGUUUUACCAUGAGAUUGACCUUCGACGUGUAGUAGACUACGGGCCAUGGAUUUUUGACAAUAGCUUGCUGGCGCUGCGAGAAUUACAACCAAGAGAUUACCCUAAAACAAUACCAAUUGACGAGGAUGCUUUCAGGGUGCAGUUGCACGAGCUCCCAGUUCAUUAUCAGACUACAACUAUCAGGAAGGGCAUGGGGAAUUAUAUUGGAACGUUUUCAAUUACAAUUAACAGUGAGCACAUAUGUGCGUGUUCGAGUGAAGCUGGAUAUAACACUACUGUUGAAGCGAGAGAAGAAGGUUAAAAAGAAUAACGGUCCGAGCGUGAUGUGUAAAUUUAAGUACGAUAAGCUACGAAAUUUCCGUUACAUAUGUGGCAAGAUGGGACAUGUUGAUCGAUAUUGUGAUGUUCUUUUCCAUACACCGGCGGACAAAAUAGUGAGGCUAUGGGAUGAGUCAAUUCGAGCGGGCGACCGUAAGCAAAAAGUGCGGGAGGGGAAUCAACAUCUAGUGAAGAAGUAGGACAGAAAGGCAAGGUUAGAGCUGGUAAGGAGGGGUGGAGGAGUCCCAGGGACGGGAAAGGUUGGGACGAUUUUCAAACAGGUGGACAGAAUGGAGAUGAGCGGAAGGAGCAGUACACAAGGAGAUGGUUCAACCGGAAAUCGGAGUGCAAUCCAGGGAGAGUUGACCCCAUCUCAGUCAGGUGUACCACCUAGUAUUGACGUGGAUGAGGAUUCAUUGAUGAUCAGGGAACCAAACAAGCGGAUUAGAACGGAGGGAGGAGGUAGGGGAUGGAUGGGGGCAAUGGAGGAAGAUACCGGGUUGCAAUAUCAACUUGGCAGAUCAUAGGAAAAAGAUAGUUCCAAACCAAAAAACAUGAAAUUGACGGACUGUGUGAACGCAUUCUGCCCGUCAUCAUGAUUAUCUUGGCCUGGAACUGCUGAGGAUUGGGCCAACCUCGUGCAGUCGGCGUAUUGAGUGAGCUUAUUCGGGCUCACAGGCCGGACGUGGUGUUUCUUUCCGAAACACUCGUCAAUUUACAAAUAUUAGAGGAUAUUCGAAUAAAAAUUGGUUUUGAAGGAUGCUUUGGGGUUGAUGCGCAAGGUCACAGUGGAGGGUUGGGUGUACUGUGGAAAGAAAGAGACAUGAUUCAGAUAUUACGUUACGGGUAGAACUUGGUACAUAUAACUGUAAUAGAUGCGACUCGAGCAAAUUGGGCACUGAUUGGGUUUUAUGGAUGUCCAGAGAGGACACGCCAAAGGGAGUUGCGGCGCAAACUCAGGGACCAUGGUGUGUGGUGGGUGAUUUUAACGAUAUUCUUCACCAAGAUGAACAACGGGGACGACAUGAACGUCCACAACCAUUUAUUGAUGGGUUCCAGCAGGCGAUAGUAUACUGUGAUUUGGUUGAUUUGGAGCUAGAGGGAUACCUGUUCACAUGGGCAAGAGCGAAAAAGGAAGCCGCACGGAGUAGAGUCGUGACUUGAUUGGGCUAUGGUGAACCCGGAGUGGUUGACGAUGUUCCCAGAUAGUACGUUGAGUAAUGUGGUGGCGGCGCUUUCGGACCAUUCACCGAUUGUUGUUAAUACAACAGGGCAAGUAUUCCAAUGAGGCCAUCGAUGUUUUAAGUUCGAUAAUAAAUGGAGUAGGGAGGCAAAACUGAAGGGGUUGGUGGCGGAGUAAUGGAUCGAAGGUCAGGAAGGAUCGGUUUUUAGAACAUUGGGUCAGUGUGCAGAUCGCUUGGAGAAGUGGGGGAGGAAGCUUGCUCUCCGCUUCAAAAUGGAGCUAGGUGAAAUUCGAUGGAGGAUGGAGGAAUUGCGAGAUGGGACAGGAGGGAGGACAGCGGAGGAAGAGCGGAAGUGUAGAGAGAGAGAUUUGUGCAGCUGUUGCAGCAAGAGGAAGAGCACUGGCAACAACGCGCAAAACAAUUUCAUUUGCGGGAGGGUGAGUGAAUCACUCGUUUCUUUCACGAGACGGCGAAUGGGAGGCGUAAGCACAAGCAUAUUACGCGGCUUAGGAAUGAGGAAGUAAAUUGGGUGGAGGAGUCGGCGGAACUGGCGGGAGUGGCUGAAAUGUAUUUUCUAACAUUUUUUCAGCGGGUGAGUGUUACCCAGAAAUUGUAACUAAUGCUGACGGGGUCAUAUUAUUUUGGAGGAGGAAAAUGCACAGCUUUGCUCAGCCUUUACGAAGGAGGAGUUCACCGCGCCAGUGUUCUCUAUGGAUGAGGAUAAAGCCCGGGGCCAGAUGGCUUUAACCCGGGGUUUUAUAAGCAUUUUUGGUAUUUAAUUGGUGAUGAUGUGUUCCAAGAAGGCAAGCAGUGGCUAGAGGAGGGUGUGUUACGAGCAGAGGUUCACGAAUCGAAUGUGGUAUUAUUACCAAAGGUGGCCAAACCAGAGAGUAUGCAGGACUUGAGACCUAUUUCAUUGUGUAGUGUGUUGUAUCGGGUGGUGGCUAAAGUGCUCGCAAAUCGCCAGCGACGGGUGCUACUAACUCUCAUUUCGGAGGAGCAGUCAACGUUUGUUAAGGGUCGAUCUAUUAUUGAUAACGUCAUGGUAGCUUUCAAGACUCUACACAGUAUGAGGCGAAGGUGAAAUGCAAAACAUGGGGAAGUAGCGGUGAAGAUUGAUGUAUCCAAAGCUUACGAUAGGGCCGAGUGGCCGUAUGUAGAGGCGGUUCUACAUAAGCUUGGGUUCGCGGAUCAAUGGGUACGACUUAUGAUGUGUUACCUCUGUGCAUUAUACUAUUUCGUUGAAUGAUGAUAGGAUCGAUCCAAUAAACCCAACAAGGGGACUACGACAAGGGUGUCCUCUGUCGCCGUUUCUCUUUAUCUUGUGCGAAGAAGGGCUAUCAACACUUUUCAAGAGAACAAUCGCUACUGGACGAAUUCAUGGGACGAGGGUGUGUCGUGGGGCACUAGCGGUCUCUCAUCUGCUUUUUGUUGACGACGGUUUCUUUUUUGUAUGGGCGGAAAUACAUGAGGCGCGUACUCUUAGACAAAUACUAGACGACUACACACGUUGAUCGGGCCAGCUUAUUAACUUUCAGAAGUCAGGAAUAAUGUUCUGUAAGAAUACCCACCCUAUGUUAGCUGCAGGUAUCUCAGAGACUGUGGGUAUCUCCCAACCUCUUGAUAUGUGGGGUUACCCUCAUGUGUGGGACGUAACAAACGACGGAUCUUUCAGCACUUGAAGGAGCGUAUUUGGCGCCGGUUACAGAAUUGGAGAGGGAAGAAGUUGUCAAAGGGAGGAAAGGAGGUAUUAAUUAAAGCAGUGGCCCAGGCAAUCUCUAUUUACUAUAUGACCACCUUUCUCCUUACUAAAAGUGUGGCGGAUGAACUAGAGAAAAUUAUGAAUAGUUUUUGGUGGGGUACAAAAGGGAAGGGGAGAAAGGGAUUGUGUGGAUGAGGUGGGAACGAUUGAGUGUGGCGAAGGAGUUUGGGGGUUUGGGUUUCAAGCAUCUUCUUAAUUUCAACUUGGCAGUGUUGGGGAAGCAAGGUUGGAGAUUACUCUCUGAACCGGAUACUCUGGUGUCACGAGUCUUCAAAGCUAAAUAUUAUCCGAAGGGGGAAUUUUUAUCGCGGCCGAGGGCCAUAGUCUGAGUUUCAUAUGGCGGAGUGUCCGUGCUACUCAGGAUUUUCUUAGGGUUGGGUUGAGAUGGAAGCUAGGAGAUGGUCAUUCAAUCAGGGUGUGGAAGGACCUAUGGCUAUGAGCUGAAGGGAAAAGAUGGAUUCGUACGCCAAGGGUUGAGGAGCUAGAAGAUAUUACGGUUAGUGAUCUUAUGAUUCCAGGGAUGCGUCGAUGGGAUGAAGACUUGAUAGGGGUUUUACUAUGUGCGGCGGACGUGCAUGCAACCUCCACUUGGCGGCAGAGACACAAGGCUAUGGCACUUUAGUCGUCACGACAAUUACUCAGUCCGCUCCGCGUAUCGUCUUCUCGCCAAUGUAUGGGGGAAACAGGGGGUUUGCAGGUCGAAGGGGAGUGGAAACGAUUAUGGAGUAUGGAAGUUCCACAAAAGAUGCGUCACUUCAUGUGGAGGUGUGUUAGAGAGGUGCUACGGACGAGGGGAGUUCACAUCAAUGAGGGGUGCAGAUUGUGUGGGGAAGGGGAGGAAACAAUUGAUCACCUCUUCCAUAACUGCCCAACUACUCCUCGAUGUUGGGAGGUGGCUGGUCUCAUGAUAGCAGUGGAGCGGAGUUGGGAGGAAGUCACGAGUUUCCCGGCCUGGUGGUUCAGGUUUCAUAGUAAGGAAUCAGCGGCGGUAGUUUCAAAAGCGGUUGGGAUCACGUGGAGUGUAUGGAAUGAACGCAUAUGGCAGCAUCGAUCGAGACCGGAGGAGGUAAUUGUGAAGAGUGGUUCCGACGCAGUGAUGGAAUGGCGACUUAUGCAAGAAAAUAAUAAACCAGCUGGAAUUAACAGGAGUGGUGGUCGCUGUGAUCGAUGGCACCUGCCGGAGGAUGAUACGGUUAAAGUAAACCUCGACUAACCUCGACGGGGCCAUUUUUGAGGAGCAUAGAUUGCAUGGGGUCGGAGCCAUAAUGCGAGAUGAAGGUGGGAACUACCUGGGACGUUUUCAGGCGUGCUUUCAGGCAGUUGUUCCGGCGAAGGAGGCAGAGGCACGUGCAUUGGAAAAGGCCAUAGGUUGGGCUAAGUUAACAGGCUACCGUAACAUCGUGUUCGAAACGAAAUCCUCUCAAAUUACAGUUAUUUUUUUCGAAACGAAAUCCUCUCAAAUUACAGUUAUUACAUUUUAGUAGUAACUUGACUAUGCGUUUCAAUAUUUUUUUAUUAAGAAUUAAUUCGAAUAAGAGACUCAUGCUUAUUCUUGUCUAACAAAAAGCAACCGUAAAUUCUAAGAGCGCACAACUUAGGACUCUUCUUUCUUCUUCUUAAAGACCACCAAAAUUGAAAUCCGAGUUUUGCUUCUCAGACAUCAAGAAGCAGUCUGCGGGGAUCCUCGACGACAUCCUUAAUUCGACGCAGGAAGAAUACAGCCUCUCUCCCAUCAAUCAGCCUAUGGUCAUAGGUCAGAGCAAUGUACAUCAUUGGCCUUGGCACCACGCUCCCUCCAACUACCAUUGGCCGGCUCACUAUUGAGUGCAUUCCCAAUAUUGCAGACUGCCAAACCGAAAUACCAAACAUCAAAAGGUUUACACAUAUGAGAAGAAUGAACGUAUCGAAAAGCAUAGGCAAUAUCUCUCCAAGUUCAAAAAAAAAAUACUAGUCAAACCUGAGGAGGGUUGAUGAUCGGAGUACUCAAAAGGCUUCCAUAGACACCACCGUUCGAUAUCGUAAAUGAACCUCCUGCCAUCUCAUCUAUUGAAAUAGUCCCAUCAUUAGCCUUCUUAGCAAGGGUGUUGAUCUCCUUCUCAAUAUCAGCAAAAUUCAUCUUCUCAGCAUUGCGAAUUACAGGCACAACAAGUCCCUGCAAGAAAGAGACAGGACCAAUAAAUACAAAUAUAUCUGACAACAGCAAACCAGCCUGCCAUUGCUGGCAUCAACCACUGACGACUAAAUUUACAGUCAAUUCUGCCAAUAUGUUCAGACUGAGAUAUGCAGAACAAACCGUUGAAUAAAGAGAUGAGGACAAACCUUUGGAGUUCCAACUGCUAUACUAAUGUCUAUGUAAUCCCUAUAUAUAAUAUCAUCCCCAUCGAUCACGGCAUUUAUAACAGGCUGCUGCUGGAGCGCAGAGACAGCUGCCUGAAAUAACUCAGCAAAAACAACAAGUGUGAGAAACAGAAACACGUUGUGGUAAAUAUGUUUUCAAAGAAAGACAAUAUUCUUACCUUGAUAAAACCAGACAUAAGUCCCAACUUCACACCAUGCUUUUCAACAAAAGCAUCCUUGUAUUCGGAACGAAGCUUCAUCAAAUUGGUCCUACAAUAAGAAUAAAACCUUAACAGUGUGUGCUGUGGAACUUGUGGAGUUUGCGUCCAUUAUAAUCUCCAGCCUAGCAUCAGUUUAUUGAACAAAAAGAAAAGGCUCAAUCAUGUUAAGGGAGCUAAACCGACUCACAUAUCAACUUCAUUAAAUGUUGUCAGCAAGGCAAAUGUGUUCUGCGAGUCCUUCAACCGUGUAGCAACUCUUUUGCGAAGUCUGGUCAUAGGAACCUGCCAAAACAAGACACACAAAAAGUAUCAGGCCGAGGCACAGAUAAUAUGCCAUUUCAGAUUCACUCGGCAAAAAAAUUGAUAAAAAAAACAAACAGUAAAGAACUUACUCGUCUUUCUCUAUCCUUGGGAGGAAGCUGAGGCUCUGUAGCAGCUUGUCUCGGAGGUGAUGCAGCUGAUGUUGAUUUCUUGGGUUUCUCUGUACUAGGAGAAGACUCGGGUUUAGAAGUUUGUUUUACCUCAUCUUUCUUUUCAGAUGGCUUAGGUGCAGCAGUCUCUGGUAAUUUUUCAGAUGGAGCAACAUGAGAUACCCCUUCACCAGACUUUGAAAUGAUAGCAACCAUUGUUCCUGGCUCAACAGUGUCUCCUUCUUUGGCUACAAACU